rnacentral:rRNA from 2 species
CUAACAUGCAGUCGAGCGGACCUCUUCGGAGGUCAGCGGCGGACGGGUGAGUAACACGUGGGCAACCUGCCUGUAAGACUGGGAUAACUCCGGGAAACCGGAGCUAAUACCGGAUAGUAUCUUGAACCGCAUGGUUCAAGUUGGAAAGACGGUUUCGGCUGUCACUUACAGAUGGGCCCGCGGCGCAUUAGCUAGUUGGUGAGGUAAUGGCUCACCAAGGCAACGAUGCGUAGCCGACCUGAGAGGGUGAUCGGCCACACUGGGACUGAGACACGGCCCAGACUCCUACGGGAGGCAGCAGUAGGGAAUCUUCCGCAAUGGACGAAAGUCUGACGGAGCAACGCCGCGUGAGUGAUGAAGGUUUUCGGAUCGUAAAACUCUGUUGUUAGGGAAGAACAAGUGCGAGAGUAACUGCUCGCACCUUGACGGUACCUAACCAGAAAGCCACGGCUAACUACGUGCCAGCAGCCGCGGUAAUACGUAGGUGGCAAGCGUUGUCCGGAAUUAUUGGGCGUAAAGCGCGCGCAGGCGGUUUCUUAAGUCUGAUGUGAAAGCCCCCGGCUCAACCGGGGAGGGUCAUUGGAAACUGGGAAACUUGAGUGCAGAAGAGGAGAGUGGAAUUCCACGUGUAGCGGUGAAAUGCGUAG